AGUGAACGCUGGCGGUAGGCCUAACACAUGCAAGUCGAACGGCAGCACAGUAAGAGCUUGCUCUUACGGGUGGCGAGUGGCGGACGGGUGAGGAAUACAUCGGAAUCUACUUUUUCGUGGGGGAUAACGUAGGGAAACUUACGCUAAUACCGCAUACGACCUACGGGUGAAAGCAGGGGAUCUUCGGACCUUGCGCGAUUGAAUGAGCCGAUGUCGGAUUAGCUAGUUGGCGGGGUAAAGGCCCACCAAGGCGACGAUCCGUAGCUGGUCUGAGAGGAUGAUCAGCCACACUGGAACUGAGACACGGUCCAGACUCCUACGGGAGGCAGCAGUAGGGAAUAUUGGACAAUGGGCGCAAGCCUGAUCCAGCCAUACCGCGUGAGUGAAGAAGGCCUUCGGGUUGUAAAGCCCUGUUGUUGGGAAAGAAAAGCAGCAGGUUAAUACCCCGCUGUUCUGACGGUACCCAAAGAAUAAGCACCGGCUAACUUCGUG
rnacentral:rRNA from 1 species